rnacentral:lncRNA from 1 species
AAACGACUUCCAGACUGAUGUGGUGCCAAGCUUAGAGGGUUAAGUCUUUCAAGGGCUUUUGUUGGUCAGCAGCCAAGGCAUCUAGGAACAAAGGAGGGGGUCUCCUUGUUAAACAUAUCAAGAAUAUUACUUUCAGACAAGAAGAAUGCAAAGAAUGGAUCAAAGAACACCAUAAAAUAGAUGGAAGACAGUAGAAAUAAGUAAUAACAGCAUCAUUCAUACUCUGAGUUUAGGGUGAUUAUGUUUAGUUAGGGCAUUAUUUUUCAGAGGACUUUAAAGCACUGCUUAGCAUUUAUGUGG